rnacentral:lncRNA from 1 species
CUCAACCACGAACUUCACCACAGACCUGGAAGAAACCUCCAUCCUCAAAGACUUGGAAAAGGCUGUCCUGGAGCCUGCGUGGAGGUUACAAAAACCAUCCCUCUGGUGGUGGCCUGAGCAGAUGACUUCAACCCCAAUGUUGCCCUGAACGUUGCAUUCAAGAUUUGAGAAGAUUAGGACUGCUAAGGUAUGGACUU